rnacentral:rRNA from 1 species
GACGAACGCUGGCGGCGUGCUUAACACAUGCAAGUCGAACGGAAAGGCCCUGCUUGCAGGGUAUUCGAGUGGCGAACGGGUGAGUAACACGUGGGUGAUCUGCCCUGCACUUCGGGAUAAGCCUGGGGAACUGGGUCUAAUACCGGAUAGGAGCCAUUUUUAGUGUGAUGGUUGGAAAGUUUUUUCGGUGUAGGAUGAGCUCGCGGCCUAUCAGCUUGUUGGUGGGGUAAUGGCCUACCAAGGCGGCGACGGGUAGCCGGCCUGAGAGGGUGGACGGCCACAUUGGGACUGAGAUACGGCCCAGACUCCUACGGGAGGCAGCAGUGGGGAAUAUUGCACAAUGGGCGCAAGCCUGAUGCAGCGACGCCGCGUGGGGGAUGACGGCCUUCGGGUUGUAAACUCCUUUCGCUAGGGACGAAGCUUUUUGUGACGGUACCUAGAUAAGAAGCACCGGCUAACUACGUG